rnacentral:lncRNA from 10 species
GGAAAGACCGCUUGGAAGGGAUCCAAGUGGGCGCUUGAAGGUGGAGAGAAAAGAGAGAAAGAUGGGGCCUUCAACCUUGCUCCUGAGACUUUAUAGGCUCGCCUCUUUCCCAAGACUCUCCCUUUAAGAUGGGCUUUCCGCAUGCGCUGUGCCCACCUCACCCUUGGGAACUGAGCAUGCGCAUUGUUUUUAGGGCACUUACCCAGACGCCCAUCUGAGGCUUUUCUCCCCUAUUCCGAUGGAAUGUGUCCCCGGAAGCUGAUACUUCGCCAUUUUUUUUUUUUUUUUUUUUUUUUUUUUGUCUCUUAACAGGCGGGCUGAGGAAGUUGCCUCUCUCUGGCGCCUGCAUUCAAUGAACGUUUGUAAUGUUAGCAGGUGUGGACCUUGAGGAGAUUUUCUCUCCCUGGCUGCCCAAUUAUCAUUUUUAGAGAGGCAAUGCGAUAAUUGCUGAACGAUGUCACCUGACAUUCCUAGCGGGUGGGAGAGAGCCCUCUCCUGCCCCGCUCAUUGCCUAACUACCUGUAACAGGUGUGUGGGUGAGUGCUCCCUGUGAUGGAACGGUGUCCUGUUCAGGACUGGGUGCCACCUGGCACCUUGAGCUGCCAGGACCGGCUCGGGCUGCUCGCGAUCCCAAACUAGAACAAAUGGAAAUGUUCAGUUGUCUAGCUCACAGGGAUAUCCACAAGCCAGACCCAGAAAGCCUUUGCUACCAUUGAUGAAGAUGCCAAGUCCACAGCCCAACAGCCAGAAGACCCUUGGUCUACUUAUGUCACAUAUCUACAUGUGAUGGGAAUAUACAGUUCGUCACCUACUACUUCAGUUUCCUGCAUAAUCUGCAUCCACACCGAAUAACCAUGAGCAGAACUCACUAAAUGGAUACAGACGACUUCUGGAAGGAUUUUUCAAGGCACCAGGUGAAAUUACUUAAAAGCCAACUGAUUCUGCAGACAAGCGUGUCAGCUCCUCUGACACCCCUGGGGAUUCACACCCUGGGGAAAUUUGUAAAUGUGAAACAGAAGCCCAACAAUUGUACUGUGCAGUGACAAAAACGUCUCUCUCCCCCAAAAACCUGAGUAGGUGAAGGAAGUUUACUUUGCAUCCUCUGAUACAAGCAUACAUCAAGUUGUCUUGCCAAGUAAAGAAUGAGAACAAAAUGUACUACUUAGUUUCAUUAUCUUUUUUUGCCUUUGAUCAUAGGAUUCCAUGCACUGGAUUUUUACGGAUGAAGAAUAGGAAUGUGUUGAGAAGGGAUGGGAUGGUGAUAAAAUUAGAAACUGAAUGGUGGUUGUAUUGGUUCCUGAACCUUGUUAUUCCUCCUACCCCUAAGUUCCAUUUAAGAAGGGGUCCCAGGAGGUGGGUGACUCUGGCUGUUGGAAAACAUAAUUAGGCUUGACUUCUUACCUCUCACCACUAAUUCUUACCUCUCACCCUAAUUCUGAAGAAUUAGGUAACAAAACAAGCUCUGCACUGAGAGUCAAUAGGCAAGCUGAACUGUUCAAGUUGAAGACCCAACAGACAAAUCCCAAAAGAGAUUGCUUUACCUUUCAUCAGCAGGAUGGGAAAGAUUUAU